AAGCAAGUGGACAAGCUAUGGCAAUGAUGUGCGCAUUUCUUGACCUGAAAUACAAACUGAAGAGCAAACAAUACGAGCUUUUUAACCCUGAGC
rnacentral:snoRNA from 1 species